UACAGAGGUCUCAAGCGUUGUUCGGAUUCAUUGGGCGUAAAGGGUGCGUAGGUGGCGCGAUAAGUCGGGUGUGAAAUCUCGGAGCUUAACUCCGAAAUUGCAUUCGAUACUGCCGUGCUCGAGGACUGGAGAGGAGACUGGAAUUCAUGGUGUAGCAGUGAAAUGCGUAGAGAUCAUGAGGAAGACCAGUGGCGAAGGCGGGUCUCUGGACAGUUCCUGACACUGAGGCACGAAGGCCAGGGGAGCAAACGGG
rnacentral:rRNA from 1 species